rnacentral:rRNA from 1 species
UAGGGAAUCUUCCGCAAUGGGCGAAAGCCUGACGGAGCAACGCCGCGUGAGUGAUGAAGGUCUUCGGAUCGUAAAACUCUGUUAUUAGGGAAGAACAAAUGUGUAAGUAACUAUGCACGUCUUGACGGUACCUAAUCAGAAAGCCACGGCUAACUACGUGCCAGCAGCCGCGGUAAUACGUAGGUGGCAAGCGUUAUCCGGAAUUAUUGGGCGUAAAGCGCGCGUAGGCGGUUUUUUAAGUCUGAUGUGAAAGCCCACGGCUCAACAGUGGAGGGUCAUUGGAAACUGGAAAACUUGAGUGCAGAAGAGGAAAGUGGAAUUCCAUGUGUAGCGGUGAAAUGCGCAGAGAUAUGGAGGAACACCAGUGGCGAAGGCGACUUUCUGGUCUGUAACUGACGCUGAUGUGCGAAAGCGUGGGGAUCAAACAGG